ACUCAAGUGGGGAAGCUCUAAUUGUCAUUCCUUAAGUCAGCCAUCUGGGAACUAUGUAUAGUUUAAAAAAAAAAAAUCAAACACUGGCACCCAAAUGCCAUCUCGUAGUCCCUUGGAAAUAGGGAAGGGAAUAGAGCAAGGAAGAGAGACCUAAAGUCAAGGGAAGCAGGUUAUUAUAAUCCUAGCUUUGUCAGCUAGGGUUGCUGUGUGAUAUUUUAUAGAAUCAUAAACCUUAAGAGGCAAAGAGGGUCUUACAGAUUAGCUAGUCCUCAACCAACCUGACCCAUGCAUCUCCUCUGCAGCCACAGCCUCUGAGUACACAGUACAUAUCCUUCACUAUGACACAGAAAGCCCAUAAAGCAGGAUGGUAUUCCGGUCACUAAAUUAUUGGUGUUAAAUAAUAUUCUCCUAUACUGCUGGUUAUAACACUGGGGCUGGUACACUGAAUGUAGACAGGGUCACCUUGCAGCUCUGAAGAGAACUGCUAGCUUAACCUUGCAAGCCCCAAAUUAGGAAUUUAAAAAAAACCAAUAAACUACUAAUUUUGUUUAAAACAUGUAUUGCUUUUAACAAACCUUAAAGCACUAUAUAAACACUUAUUACUAUUAUUACUUGGCUCUAGAUAUUCUGCCUCUGACUAGGGGAGAGGAUAAGAAGCAAAUGAAUACAAAGAAAUGGACUGGCAAAGAACUAUUCUUCUGGACUUCUUUGGAAGAUAAUACAAAUGACUUCAUCUCCGCUUCUUUUCAAAAAGCAAUGGGAAAGUGGAGAUCCGGCUGAGAAAAAAAAAAUCUCAAACUUGCAAGAGUAAUACAAUCCAGGCUGGGGUCUGAGGAUAUGUAUCUAGCUUCAGUUUCUUAGAGAAGAUAUUCUGGAGAUGUGACUAAAUGAGCUCUUCCUCAAGGUCAGGAUUACUUUUUGAUGCUCAUAAGAUGAGAGGGGAAGGAAUAAUGAAGAUUUCAUGUGACUUGUAACAUAGGGAGGGGUUUUUUUAGAAUAAUUUCAAAAUGUUUAAUAUGAUUGUACAUGUAUAGCCUAUAUCAGAUUGCAUGCCGUCUUGGGGAGGGGGAAGGGAAAGGAGGGAAUUUAGAACUCAAAAUCUUAUAAAAGUGAAUGUUGAAAACUAAAAAUAAGUAAAAUUUCAAAAAUAACAAUUUCAAAAAUGUUUAUUUUUUUUUACUGAAUUCAGUUUCACAUCAAAAGAAAUGUGUACCCAUUCUUUCUUCU
rnacentral:lncRNA from 1 species